UACAGAGGUCCCGAGCGUUGUUCGGAUUCACUGGGCGUAAAGGGUGCGUAGGUGGCUUGAAAAGUUUGAUGUGAAAGCUCAGGGCUUAACCCUGAAAUGGCAUUGAAUACUGUCGGGCUGGAGGUUUGGAGGGGGGACUGGAAUUCUUGGUGUAGCAGUGAAAUGCGUAGAUAUCAAGAGGAACACCAGUGGCGAAGGCGAGUCCCUGGACCGGUACUGACGCUGAAGCGCGAAAGCGUGGGGAGCAAACGGG
rnacentral:rRNA from 1 species